rnacentral:rRNA from 1 species
UACGUAGGAUGCGAGCGUUAAUCGGAAUUACUGGGCGUAAAGCGUGCGCAGGCGGUUUGGUAAGACAGAUGUGAAAUCCCCGGGCUUAACCUGGGAAUUGCAUUUGUGACUGCCCGGCUAGAGUGUGUCAGAGGGGGGUAGAAUUCCACGUGUAGCAGUGAAAUGCGUAGAGAUGUGGAGGAAUACCGAUGGCGAAGGCAGCCCCCUGGGAUAACACUGACGCUCAUGCACGAAAGCGUGGGGAGCAAACAGG